AGACGGUUAGUUUAAGAAAAAUAUUUGAUUUCGACUCAAAAGCUUAUGGUUUAAGUCCACAACCUUCUG
rnacentral:tRNA from 1 species